CUCUGCCUUAUUAUGCCCCUUGGUCAAAUUCUUUCUUCUGAGGAGGCAAGAACUGAGGUUGCUGCAGUCCCAUACAAAUUCGCCACUGCUUCUAGGAUGUCCCCAUGUCUUCUCUGUGGAUCUCCCAGCACCCACAGGUCACACAGCAACAAAGGCUGUGGCAGUCACCUGGGUCUCCCACAGCAGACAAGACCAGGCACUGGACACCGAAUGUUUUCACAAUUAAAAACACAUGUUCA